GCGCAAACAAAUAUGGGAACGGGAAAGCCAGAAGAGGAAAGAGAGGCUUCAUUCCUCUCUCUUGCGUCAUUGCUUCUGGAUUUUAUUUACAAAUCCAUUGGCCUUCCCUACCAUCUUCCUCAUCUACUACAGUUUUUCGCUCCAUAAACACCUCUAGAUCGUCGACAUUGCGUUAGUCCAGGGCUGUGAUCUCCUCAUCGAGCUUGGCCUCAUCUGCUUUGGCCAUCGUCAGUACCUUCUUCUUGAUGACUUCUGGACUGGGUUCUCCAUUUGUGAAAUUCUGAGCAAGAACUCUCCAUCCUUCUCUCCUUUUCGAUGGGAAACAAGUAGAUUCUUUUGCUUUUUCCCACUCUCAGAAACUACAUAUAAAGACAUCUCAAGCAAAGCAAACUGAAUCAGUUAUGAUCGAAGUAUUCACAGCUUGCCCAGAAAGAAUGAAUCAAAGUUCAACAAACUUCUUGAAGGAGCAGAAGGCAAUAAUGAAUAGAAGUAAAUUGAAUUUUUCAACACGGGGCCUGGAAUUUUUGAAUUCUUGAAAGAGCAGGACAAGGAACUUCUAUAAUUUGCUGAUGAUGACAACAUUGAUGAGUUGUGAAGCACUACCUUAAUUUUAUUGAUAUGAGAGGGUUCCUUCAAAAGUUCUGACUUACCAAGCUACUGAUGACCCAGUCUAUAGUGGCUACAUAUAAGCUAUUGAAUCUAGAAGUCAAGAGGAUACACUAGCAUCGUCAAUUUCAUCUUUAUACCAAUUUUAUCAAUAAAUAAUUAUAUCAAUUCUUUUUUUGACUCACUGUUGCAUUUCUUUUAACCUAUGCUAUUACAUGUUGUUGAUGAUGGGGUUUGCUGUCUGGGAGCCACCUCAUGGUCAUUACAAGAUGCUUAGAUAUUUGAAGAAUUAUGUGAAAGUUAGUGGAAGAAUCAAAGAGGAAGAAUUAUGCUGUUUGGGAGCCACCUUACGGUCAUUACAAUAUGCUUAGAUUUUAGAAGAAUUAUCUGAAAGUUAGUAGAAGAAUCAAAGAGGAAGAAUUAUGUGUUUCUGUCUGGAAGCCACCUCACGGUCGUUACAAGAAUUAUGCUUAUAUAUCCUUUGAAAAAGGUACAGUGACAAAAGAGGAAGAAUCAAGCACCUAUGAAAGGAUCAAUCUUCUAGUUCACGAAGGAUCAACCUUCAUUAUAAAGCCUACAACAUCCCCUCUCCUUGAAGUUUACAUUUUGA